GAUAGUGUUCUUUCUUUUCUCAAGGUCACAAUAUUCCCAUUCUGCACCUUUUUUUUUUGCAUAAAUGAUAUUUAACAAGCAUUUGUAUAUAAACAAACCCACGUUAGUAAUUUCAUAUUUGUAUGUUUUCAAUACGUAUUGGAAUUGUUAAUUUGCAAAAGAAAAUAUUGGUUUUGGAGUCGAAUAGAAUAUAUGAAAAGUGAAUAAGAAAUUGGGCAUUAUUUCGAGAAGUGCAAUAUCAUAUUAAUAUUUUUAAUAACCAGCGUAUUCUUAAAUAAUUAUCUUUUGAUUCUUAAAGAAUGAGUUCUAAUUCUUAAAGAAUUAAGAAUGGCUGAAAAUGAUGGUUUGGGAUGAUGAAAUCUUGAUGGUAGACAAUUUUUUGCAGGUAGAUAGAUAACAUGCAAGGAUGACUAAUCAUUCUCAAUCGGAGAAACAACCAUCAACACCCAUACACAACCGAUCAUCAGCCAUCACCACUGUCAAAACACAACUCAUGUUCAUUAAUAUUUUGUGUAUAUUUUUUUAGAAUGAUUGUUUUUGUUUUAUAGUUUGUAUUCUUUCAGAUGCACUUUAUUCCUAAAAAAUAUCUCAUAUUUCUUUUCAAGAAUGUAUUUUAUUUCAACAAUAUUACUAGCAUUAAUUAAGUUUUUAAUUCUUAUUGAAUAUACUUGUAUCAAAAUUUGAGAAGAUAUUAACAUUAGUUUUAUUCUUUAAUAAUAUAUGUGCUUUGUGAAA
rnacentral:lncRNA from 1 species